UGAUUAAUUUGAAUCAAACUUAACUUCUUUUCUUAGUCAAUGAUUGAAGAAAUAGAAGAAAUCAAAAGGAUUUUCAUCUCGCGUCUUAAAUGAAAUGAGCGGACUCGAAUUAGCAGUAUAGUAUUCUAUGAGAUCCGAUAUCGGAAGAGCCUC